CACUAGUGAUUGGUGUUCUUCCCGAUAUCUACACAUUCCACCGUUACACCGGGAAUUCCAGUCUCCCCUACCGCACUCAAGCCCGCCCGUACCCGGCGCGGAUCCACCGUUAAGCGAUGGACUUUCACACCGGACGCGACGAACCGCCUACGAGCCCUUUACGCCCAAUAAUUCCGGAUAACGCUUGCACCCUACGUAUUACCGCGGCUGCUGGCACGUAGUUAGCCGGUGCUUAUUCGAAAGGUACACUCACCCGAAGGCUUGCUCCCGAUCAAAAGCGGUUUACAACCCGAAGGCCGUCAUCCCGCACGCGGCGUCGCUGCAUCAGGCUUGCGCCCAUUGUGCAAUAUUCCCCACUGCUGCCUCCCGUAGGAGUCUGGGCCGUAUCUCAGUCCCAAUGUGGCCGGUCGCCCUCUCAGGCCGGCUACCCGUCGUAGGCUCGGUGGGCCGUUACCCCGCCGACUACCUGAUAGGACGCGACCCCAUCCCAUACCGAUGAAAUCUUCCCCGGAAGGACAUGCAUCCAACCGGAGCAUCCGGCAUUACCACCCGUUUCCAGGAGAAUCGAAUUC
rnacentral:rRNA from 1 species